GACAGAGGUGCCGAGCGUUAGGCGGAAUCACUGGGCUUAAAGCGUGUGUAGGCGGGUCCGUAAGUACCUUGUGAAAUCCCACCGCUCAACGGUGGAACUGCUCGGUAUACUGCGGGUCUUGAGCUGUCUAGGGGCGACCGGAACAAGCGGUGGAGCGGUGAAAUGCGUAGAUAUUCGCAAGAACACCAGUGGCGAAGGCGGCUCACUGGCCCGAUACUGACGCUGAGGCACGAAAGCGUGGGGAGCAAACAGG
rnacentral:rRNA from 1 species